UAGGGAAUCUUCCACAAUGGACGCAAGUCUGAUGGAGCAACGCCGCGUGAGUGAAGAAGGUCUUCGGAUCGUAAAGCUCUGUUGUUGGUGAAGAAGGAUAGAGGCAGUAAAUGGUCUUUAUUUGACGGUAAUCAACCAGAAAGUCACGGCUAACUACGUGCCAGCAGCCGCGGUAAUACGUAGGUGGCAAGCGUUGUCCGGAUUUAUUGGGCGUAAAGCGAGCGCAGGCGGAAUGAUAAGUCUGAUGUGAAAGCCCACGGCUCAACCGUGGAACUGCAUCGGAAACUGUCAUUCUUGAGUGCAGAAGAGGAGAGUGGAACUCCAUGUGUAGCGGUGGAAUGCGUAGAUAUAUGGAAGAACACCAGUGGCGAAGGCGGCUCUCUGGUCUGCAACUGACGCUGAGGCUCGAAAGCAUGGGUAGCGAACAGGAUUAGAUACCCUGGUAGUCCAUGCCGUAAACGAUGAGCGCUAGGUGUUGGGGACUUUCCGGUCCUCAGUGCCGCAGCAAACGCAUUAAGCGCUCCGCCUGGGGAGUACGACCGCAAGGUUGAAAC
rnacentral:rRNA from 1 species